rnacentral:rRNA from 1 species
CAGUCGCCGCGGUAAUACGAAGGGGGCCAGCGUUGCUCGGAAUUACUGGGCGUAAAGGGAGCGUAGGCGGAUCGUUAAGUUGGGGGUGAGAGCCCGGGGCUCAACCUCGGAACUGCCUUCAAUACUGGCGAUCUUGAGUAUGAGAGAGGUGUGUGGAACUCCGAGUGUAGAGGUGAAAUUCGUAGAUAUUCGGAAGAACACCAGUGGCGAAGGCGACACACUGGCUCAUUACUGACGCUGAGGCUCGAAAGCGUGGGGAGCAAACAGGAUUAGAUACCCCCGUAGUCCCUGUCUCUUAUAC